CGAGAAAGCUUCUUGAUUCGAUGAUAACUGAGAAAUUCGGUUGCCCACAGAAGAUGGGAGUUGCUUUGUAAUUGAAGGAGGGUGGUUUGAAUGACUGUCAAUGAAAAGUGGUUCAUUGUUAGGCUUUCGAUAGGGUUGGUAGCUUUCAUUAUUUAAAUUUAAGGUAAUAUCUAGGAAGUUGACAGAUUGGUGGGUAAUUUCUGCGGUGAUUUUCAAUUGAAACUCAUCGAAAAGUUGGUGGAGAUCUUUUCUAGCUUUGUCAGCAAGCCGGGCAGAAGUACCUCGUAGUAGGAUUAAACCAUCGUCUCGAUAAAGGCCGACGCGGUCUUUGCCAUAUUUCUUUGCCAAGGAAUUUAGUAUAAAUAGGCCUAUGAACUCGCACACUUCUGCUCCAUCAAAACAGCCAUAAUUUCUAAUAAACAGCCAAAGCAGCCAUAAUUUAAACAGC
rnacentral:lncRNA from 1 species